CCAGAACCUAGCUGCCUAAAUUGUAUAUGGAAAUAUACAUGAAUACAUAAAAGCUAAGGAUUUCUGUUAAAUAUUCAUAGAUUUUUAUAUGAGAAAUCCAGUUUUGAUAUUGGGGAAGAAAUUGAGGCCUUUUAAAAGAAUGCUAUGGCUAAUUUGGGAGAAUCUAGGUCUCUACAAUCCAGCUCAAUUUUCAGCAACCCUUCCUGUUAGGUGCCCAUCUGGAGAGCAAAGAUUGAGAAGGAAAUUCUGUGCAUGCCCAGCCUGAAGUCUCUUUAUGUGGGUUUCUAAAGGUGUGUCCACAUGUAAUUAGCCUUAAAAAAAUCUAAACUUCACUCAUUUUUCGGGGGGGGGGAUGAUGAAAUUUGAUAUCAAUGGCUAAAUGUAACUCCCCCUGUUCAGAACAUGUAAUAAGACUUAGAAAUGUAUACAAUUUAUAUUCAAAUGCUUCUGUAAAUAGAGGGGGAGAGAGAGAGAGAGACCAAGAGAGUGCAUGCAAAUGUUGCAAGAUGCUAACAAUUAGUGGGUUCAGGUAUUGAGUAUAGACAUAAUCACUAUAUUGACCUUUUAAUUUUUCUGUUGAAUUGGAAGUCUUCAGAAUAAAAAGGAGGUGAAGGUAGGCAAAUUGGUCUGGGGACUCGAAUGGCCCAGUAGGUACCAGGGCUUCCUUAAUUGGUUGAUAAAUGAGACAGUUUACCUCUGGAUCACAUACAGGGAUAUGUGUAUAACACUUGUGUGUAUUGAUAGUGGGGACUGCAUUUCCUACCUCAUAUCGACCCCUCACAAUUCUGAUUGCAGAGUUGUUGAUAUGCAUUCUGAAAUGACAAUAAAAUUGAUUUCUGAUGAACAGUGUUUUUGUCAAAUUCAACAAUACGUGUGUGACCAGUUCUGUUAACAUAGCAAUAUUUGAUUCUUUUUUUUUAUUUUCCCAAAUUCUAACUCCCAAUUUCCCUGAUUUCUACAAUCAUUUCUUUCUUACCAAACACUACAAUAUAAAGCUACCACAACUAAACUGUAGUAGUAGGGUUUUUUUUCUCCUCAUACUGUGUCAUAAGCUGUUAUCCUUCUCUUGGAAGAAGUAAAUAAAUGUGUUUUAUUCAACCCAAAGAACUUAAAUUAGUAUGGAAGAGAGUUGAAUGGGAGGAAUUGAGGGGCUGGGUUUGAAUAUAAAUUGAAAUUUACCAACACUCUAAAAGGCAUAAUGUUGGCAGUCUUCCAAAAUAUUUGUUCAUAGCAGGUUUGAUAUUAAUGGAUAUAUAAAUUUAUGUACACUUUACAGUUAGCAUUUUAUGAAGUGUUCCUUGAAGUAAUUAUCAGUUCAGCACCAUACCCUAGCUAAUAAUAUUUAACAACAAUAAUGCUUUGUGCUUGUGCCAAAGAUCACAAUGAGUAAUCAAGCAAUUUAGUAUCCUACCACAUCCUGGCUGCCUGGAAAUACCUCCAUGACCUGAGUAUACAAAUGGAGAAAUGAAGAUCCAAAGAUGUAAUGAAGGACAUCCUCAAAAAUCAUUAAAAUCCCAAGGAUAAACUACCAGUUUCUGAUGACAGGUGUCUCUCCCUCUCAGCAAGUAUAGAGUAAGAUAAAUUAGAAGCAGUCACUCAUUAUGCUAAUUACAGUAAUAUAUUUUAUAUCCAAAUAUUCUGAUACAUUAGAAAUGGAUAUUGCUUUGGGAUGGCCGGGUGGCUCCGUCAGUUA